GACGAACGCUGGCGGCGUGCUUAACACAUGCAAGUCGAACGGAAAGGCCCUGCUUUUGUGGGGUGCUCGAGUGGCGAACGGGUGAGUAACACGUGAGUAACCUGCCCUUGACUUUGGGAUAACUUCAGGAAACUGGGGCUAAUACCGGAUAGGAGCUCCUGCUGCAUGGUGGGGGUUGGAAAGUUUCGGCGGCUGGGGAUGGACUCGCGGCUUAUCAGCUUGUUGGUGGGGUAGUGGCUUACCAAGGCUUUGACGGGUAGCCGGCCUGAGAGGGUGACCGGCCACAUUAGUGCUGAGAGACGGCCCAGACUCCUACGGGAGGCAGCGGUGGGGAAUAUUGCACAGUGGGCGGAAGCCUGAUGCAGCAACGCCGCGUGCGGGAUGACGGCCUUCGGGUUGUAAACCGCUUUCGCCUGUGACGAAGCGUGAGUGACGGUAAUUAGUAAAGAAGCACCGGCUAACUACGUG
rnacentral:rRNA from 1 species